ACAGCUUCGGGACGACUGGAUCGCCGCGCCUGGGCCGGAGCGAGCCAUCUGCGGGCACUAUGCAAAGCGGGAGACGGCGCGAGCGGCGCCCGGCUCACACUAGCUCUUCCAGGACGCAGAGAGAACCAUUCUCUGCUUUCAAUAGGACAGAAGAGCUCCUUGGCACUGGAUGCCUCCGGGUCUGGUUGAGAGAGGAAUGGUUAGGAGACUGUUCUGAGGAUACGCAGACAUCAUCCAAAGCUUCCUACAUUCAGAUGAGGACAGAGGUUGGGCCAGAGCUUUGUAAGCUUGUUACCUAAGGAUGGUUCUGACCAUGUAAGCAGAUCACAGAAGCUAUUCACAGAUCAUCAUCAGCCAGAGGUGACUUCUGUUGCUUGCAGCUCAGAAUCCUAGAUGUUUCCGGUGGCACUGAAGAGCCUCUGCUGAAGCUCUAUACCAUUUGCCAUUUACAAAGGGAAAUGAAAUAAUAACGCUGACCAUUUGUGGAGCACAUUCUGUCUGGAGGCAAAGGAUGCCAAGAUGGGAAAGCCACAUAAUGGAAGGAUCCUGGAUUUCAGAGCUGUCACUUGGAGGAGGGGCACCCAGUGAAGGUGUCUUAUCUAACCCACACCAUAUCUUCAUGAAGUGGCCAUAUGGAUUUGAUCCCUAUCCUUCAGAGGUGCUCAGCCUAAGGGAACACGGAUAGUAGAUUAAGCACUGACCAGGUGAAAAAGAUUGAUCAUCAGAUGUUUCUUAUGUAUCAACCUGAUAUUUAAAUCCAUGAAGGACAGAGACGACAAAGGCAGGUGGAAUAGAUAGAGAAGAGAUUCAAGGUCUGAGCUCUACAUUACUCAAACUGUUAGAGAUUAGGAAGAAGAGGAAGACCUGGCAAAAGAAUGUCCUGGGAUGUAGAAAGAAAACCAGAAGCUUGUGUUCUCUGGAAACCAAAUGAAGAAAGGGCUUCCAGAAGGACAGACAAAGUGUAGUGUGUCAAAGGCUCCUGAGCAAUCAGAGGAGAGCACAAAGGGGCUCACAGGACUUUGGUAUCUGGAUCACCCAGUGACACUUCCUGAUCACGAGAAACUGUCAGACCAACAGGGGCACUUUCUGAAACCAGCAGUUCUUCAGUGCCCAAAUGCAACCUUGAUGGUUUGAUUUUGGAGGAUGGCAAUUCAUUAACAGCACUCCCCAGUGAUAAAUAUGAAAACCAAUAAAACCCCCCACCCAAGGCAAUCUCUCCCAGCUCCUCGCUUUGAGUAAAGUGAGUAACCUCCAUUUCUGCCAACUCCUGUCUUGUCUGAAGCCACAUUUCCCCAGCAAUGUCACAUAUGCAUUUCUUGAUCCUGGUCAUUUCUCCUCUUGGGAGAUGAAUCAUAAAGAAAAUGAGAUCUGUGUGCCCUGGUGACUAUGGAUGCAAGAGUCUGCUGCCCUGGAGGGAACAGCUGGAAAAGUAGAUGGUGAAGACGUGUGGGGGGGAAACAGUGGAGAAGGCAUCUUUGCAGGGGAUCAAGGUGACAGAGUGAUUAGUUACACUGUUUUGACAUGUGAGAACAGGGGGUUAUAAAAAUGGAUACAGGAAGAGGGAGAGAAAGUAAGGACCAAAACAUGAAGCCAGUCAUGAAUGUUUUUACAUAAAAAGCAGCAGAUUUACGGCAAAUAUGUGAUGUUUCCACAUUUUCUGCCUCUAGUUAGCAGGGGCAGCACAAAGAGCAUUACUGUGGAGCUGAACUUUGGGUAAAAGAUUAACAGCCAGUCCUUUCUCUCCAGUGUCUGCUUCCUUCUGGGCUUGCCCUGGGGGAAAAGGAGGGCUGGCAUGGAUAUGCCUGCAGCCCUCACCCUAGAUGUUCUUCCACGCCUCUCUGUUCAUUCAUUGCUUAGUCAUUCCUCAGGCAUGGAUUGAGACCACUGUGUGCCCAGGACCGACCUGGCCUAGGAUGGACAUAGAGAUGGAAAAGGCACAGGGAGCAGGUGACAGAGACAAAUCAAGGUCAUGGAGAAUAGCAGAGUAAGAUAGAAGAUGAAGGCAGGAGAUGGGGUUCUUGAGAAAGCGAGAGCAGGACUGACCCGUGUCUGCCUCACCUGUUAUUGCUGUAGCCUCUUCUCCUUGGAGUAUCCCUCCUGCUCUUGCAUCACCUUAGGAACUUGGAUCAGAGAGGAAAGUUACGGCCUGGAUAUGUUGUAGUAGGAGGGGACAAACAUGUUUGGAGACAGAAAUGCUUGGGGAGCGGGUGUUUUUGGGGGAUGAGACUUUCCAGGUCUCUCAAUUCACACUAUGUAGGUAGUUCACUGCACAGCUUAAAUAAGAGACAACUCUCCGGAGUGGUUGGCUCUCAUCCAAAAAAUGUGUUUUGGGCCUCAGAUUUCCAACGGAAGGGCUGAAGCGUGACUGGCCUGAUGUCAACUACUGAAGUCCACCUGCCCCUGCCCUAUCAGGUGUGGAAAUGCUGGGGUUCCUCUCUCAGAACCUACUUCCUGAGAUGUCGAAAUAUACCCAAGAGUAUUUCUGGGCCUUCUCCAAUCCGAAACUGUUUAGUUUUUGUGUGUGUGUGCCUACUUGGCCACACUAGAAGACAGAGGUGGCCUGGGUGAAAUGCAGGUUUCUAGAGGCUCUCUGACAAAGCUCAGGCCACCAGCCCCAGGCCAGCCUGUGGGUAGUCCUGGCUGACAGUCACUUCAUACCUCACCUGGGCUUUUUGCCAAAUUCAAAGUGUGUGUAUAUGUGGAGUGCUGGGUUCCCACCACUGACAGUCUGUAAGUCAUUCACUUAGCUCAAUUUGUCUUACUUUCUUCUGAAAUUUCUUCCUUCUUGUUCUUUUUCCCAGGAGAAACCAGGAGAAGGCAGUCCUAGGGCAGUCUCCGGGCCAGCUUUCCCUAAUAAGAAGGCAGAGCUCCUCUUCACCCAGACUUCAGACCUAUAGAGGCAGCCUGGGGUCCCGGGAUGCCCUUGCACUCAGAGAUGUCCCCAGAGUCCUAGGGAAAUGGAGGAUAACUAGGAGGAAGCUGUUCAUGGCUGGCGAUGAGGUCUAUACCUUCUUGUCCGUCUCAGUGCUGUCUGCUAUUGAAUUUUUGUGCAGAUCACAUUAACUUAAAGCCAGUUCUCAAGAAGCUCCCCCUGCCGCCGGCAUAUCCACCAGUUGCUCCCCUUUCCUGCCAUUAAUCAGGGUCUGCUAGUUAGAGAACAAAUUCCUAUUUGUCCAAACAGUUGCCAACACCCCCACCCCAAGGUAGUUAAAUGAGGAUGAAUGGGUCAUUCUUAUUAAAAAAUGACUUAAAUUUCUCAAAUUCUAUUUAUGUUUCUUUUACAUCCCAAUUUUCUAUAGAUUUAGUGACUCCAAAUGAUAAGGUCUCAAGCUCAUAAUAAUUUAUCCCUUGGGUAACACACAAGGCUUGGUGGUAUUUCAGUAAUAUUCAUGACAACAGCAGCUGUCGUGCUAAUAAGGACUGAUGUCACCAGAGCACUUUCUAUGUGCCAAGCAUGGUGCACAACACUUUACAUACAUUAUGUCAUUUAAUUUUCACAAAACCUCACAGAGGUAAAUAUUAUUAUCUUCCUCUGCAUAUAAGGAAAUGAAUGUUCGGAAAGAUUAAGUCAACUCACUGAGGUCCCAUCAGUGCUCUUUCAUAUGCCUCUGUUGCAGUCUCAUUGAACUGCUGAAAUCAGAAAAACCUGGAGACCUUGUUAACCUUCAGAUUCCUGGGCCCCAUCUUAGAUGCAGGGAGUCAGACUUCCUGGGAGUGUGGCCCUGGAAUUUUCAUUUGUAAACACAUUCCCCAAGAGACCUGUAUGCACACUAAAGUGGGAGAAUUCACGAUCUCUGGCUUUUGUGAUGUUUUAAACGCACUAUAUAAUUUCAGUAGCAAAAGAAUUGGGCUUUGGGAAGGGAGUGUGUGGUGAACCCUGAAAGCUGAAUGGACUUCCUUCCUGUGGAGGAGCAGUGGGAGAAACUGGAGGCAGAGAGCUGUGUUUCAUUCCUUGAUUGAGCCUUUGUGAGUUAUUUAAUCUCUUUCAGUCUCUAUUUUUUUCAUUUGUAAACCAGGAAGGAUACUUGUAUUUUCCAGGUGGUUGUGAGGUGUGAAAGAGAUGAGAGUAGAACAAAAUUUUAAAAGUUGAAAGCACUCAACAAAUGUAUUUGGUAUUAAUCAUGGGUUUCCCUGGGGCCGAGGAAGCCACCAGCCACCGCAGGCCUGUACACAAUGCCAGCCACCAUGUAUGGAUACGGAGGAGGCAAAAGGACUAGCGAACACUCCCAGGGACUGGAUGUCUUGAAUAUCUGUCCAACUUUCUUGGGAGGGGCCAUUUCUUCUGUAACUCAAAGGAAUUUAUUAUUUUUCAGCCAGGGAGGCAUGCUUUCUAUCUACUGCUAGUACUCCCAGACCAAGCUGUUUCAGUGGGACUGAGGUGUGACUUCUGCCUCGGUUUCAUCCAUCUGUGCAGGGAAGAGAAAAAUGCCUGCACCUCCACGGUCACACCCUCUGUUGGAACCACCUCCUUAAGCCAGAAUUAUUGAAUGUUCUCUAUGUGCCAGAAUUAUUAUUAUCUCAUUUGAUUCUCACAACAAUGCCAUGAAGUCUAUACAGACAUACCUUGGAAAUACAGCGGGUUUGGUUCCAGACCACCGCAAUAAAGCUAAUACCGCAAUAAAAUGGGUCACACGAAUUUUUUGGAUUAGGCUUCGGCUUAAGGGAAUGUUGUGGCUGGUUUGAUGUUUUAUCCAGACCGCUAACACUUUCUCCCUAUCAGCAAUGAGGCUGUUUUGCUUUCUUAUCAUUCCUGUGUUCACUGGAGUAGCACUUUUAAUUUCCUUCAAGAACUUUUCCUUUGCAUUCAUAACUUGGCUAACUGUUUGGCACAAGAGGCCUGCCUAGCUUUUGGCCUAUCUAAGCUUUUGACUUGCCUUCCUCACUGAGCUUAAUCAUCUCUAGCCUUGGAUUUAACGUGGAAAAUGUGUGACCCUUCCUUUCACUUGAACACUUGGAAGCUAUUGUAGGGUUAUUAACUGGCCUAAUUCAAUAUUAUUGUGUCUCAGGGAACAGGGAGGCCCAGAGAGAGAGAGACGGGAAAACAGAAAGUCAGUGGGGCAGGCAGAACACACACGUUUAUUUAUUAAGUUUGCUGUCAUAUGUUGGUGCAGUUCAUGCUGCCCCAAAACAAUUACAAUAACAAGAUCAAAGAUUCCUGGUCAUAGAUUGCCAUAACAGAUACAGUAAUCACGAAAAAGUUUGAGAUAUUGUGAGAAUUACGCAGAUAUUGUGAGAAAUAUGACCCAGAGACAAGAAGCGAGCACAUGCCGUUAGAAAAAUGGCACCAACAGACUUGCUUGCUGCAGGGUUACACAUACCUUCAAUUUGUAAAAAAAAAAAACUGUAAUAUCUGCAAAACGCAAUAAAGAAAAGUGUAAUAAAAUGCAGUCUGCCUGAACUUCAAUUAUUCCCAUUUUAUAGAAGAGGAAAUAGAUGCAGGGAGUUUGAUCUGCCUGAACUAGUAAAUGGUAGAACUCUGGGACUAACAUUCCUAUCCUCUAUGCUACAUUCCUAGGAAAGAACGCUCAGACAGGGUUGGACUGAGAGUGUGUUAAGCUUUGCACUGUUUUGAGCCCUCUGAAGGAGUGUCCGUAUUUGAAAGCUGGCCUCCUUCCUUUCACUGGCCCUCCACAGUGUGGCCUAAGUUAUUCAAUUAGGAAGGGAAAUAAUUGGCAGUGGAGAAUGCCUCUAGCAGUGGUAAUUACCUCCAGUGCCUUGUAGGAAUAGUCAAGCUACAUUUCAGUUUAUGCUGUAAAACCUUAAUUAUAAUAUAAACAGCUGCCCUUCAGCCCAGUGGGGCAGCCUUCCCCCGCCUUCCUUCUCUGGCCUCUGAAUGGCCCUGCCUCCUGAAUGGUCAGGGAGGUCCAGGGACGGAAGGAGACCUGGGAGGAGGGGAGCCGAUGACUAUGCGUGCGUUGGGGUUUGGAAGACUAAGCUGGAGGGAGCCACUGCCAGGGUCCCAUCUUCAAGUGAUGAAGCCAAAGGCAGCAUCCCCAUUCUUGGUACCACUCACACUGAGUCUCUUGGGGGAGCAGCCUCCAGCCAUUAGCAGUCAGCCCAGUGCCAUUAGGCUAGGAUAGGGUUUAGCAGGCUAUGGUAUCAUUUCAGGGUAACAUCUCUUUCUAUUUACUCCCCUAUAAGGGAGAACAGAGUCUUCCCUUCUAGAUCCAGACUUCCUGGCCAUGUAGGAGCCCUGUUGAGUGCCUGGUGCACUCUAGGUAGUAUGCGAGGCAUGGUUGCAAGGGUUCCCCAUUUCAACUUCACAGCACUUGGAUACACAGAAAAUUAACAUCCUCAUUUGACUAUUGAGGAAAAUGAGACUUUGAAAGUUUAAACGGAGAUAAGGCUUGGGAGGCAGACAGCCCUGUAAGUGACUUAAGUUCAGGAAGGAGAAGGACACUCAAUAUUUUUGUUCAGAGCACUGGGAAGGAGAGAGAGGGAUCAGUCACCAUCGGGCAUUUGAGAAGGUCCAGGAACAGGGGGCUGGUGAGCAGAGGGGGGAAUAACACCAGAGGGGCUGAAAUUGCUGAUUGCUGGGUUCACAGAUCUACCCACGAGCGGCCCAGGUACCCCAUGAGCGGCUGCUCUGUGUCAUCUGACCACUGGAUUGUAACCUGGGCUGAAAGAAUCAGAAGUCAGUGUGGCGAGGCAGGAGUCCUCAGAUGGUCAGAGCUGACUCUUCAACUCUUAAGGGCAAAAUGGAAAAUGUGAGCUUGUUGGUGGUCUUCGAAACACAGUAAGCAAUCCAUGCCCCUGAAGAGCAGGGAUAAUUAUAGGCAUGCCCUUGUUUUAUUGUGCUUUGCAGAUAUUGCAUGUUUUUACAAAUUGAAGAUUUAUGGCAACUCUGCAUACAGCAAAUCUAUUGAUGCCAUCUUUUUCCAAUAUCACAUGCUCACUCUGUGUCUCUGUCUCACAUUUUGGUAGUUCUCCCAAUAUUUCACACCUUAUUAUUAUUAUUAUAUCUGUUAUGAUGAUCUGUGGUCAGGGAUCUUUGAGGUUACUAUUGUAGUUGUUUUGAGGUGCCAUGAACUGCACCCAUGUAAGACAGCGAACAUAAUCAAUAAAUGUUGUGUGUUCUGACUGCUCCACCAACCGACUGUUUCCCUGUCUCUUUCUCUCUCCUCUGGCUCCCUAUUCCCUGAGGCACAAUCAUAUUGAAAUUAGGCCAAAUAAUAACCCUACAAUGGCUUCUAAAGGUUCAAGUAAAAGGAAGAGUCACAUCUCUUACUCUAAAUCAAAAGCUAGAAAUGAUUAAGCUUAGUGAGGAAGGCAUGUGGAAAGCUGAGA
rnacentral:lncRNA from 10 species